UACGUAGGGUCCGAGCGUUGUCCGGAAUUAUUGGGCGUAAAGGGCUCGUAGGCGGUUCGUCACGUCGGGCGUGAAAACUCGGGGCUUAACCCCGAGCCUGCUUCCGAUACGGGCAGACUAGAGGUAGGCAGGGGAGAGCGGAACUCCUGGUGUAGCGGUGGAAUGCGCAGAUAUCAGGAAGAACACCCGUGGCUAAGGCGGUUCUCUAGUACGGUACUGACGCUGAGACGCGAAAGCGUGGGGAGCGAACAGG
rnacentral:rRNA from 1 species